AAAUAGUCUUUUAUUUUGAUAAACAUGUAGAUAGCAGUAACUAUAAAGGCUAGUAUACUUAAUAUGUACAUUAUAUCUUUUAAAGGAGAAUCUGGGGCAUUUCCUUGUGUUAUAUACAAUAACAGAAUCAUGGUCCCUUCAGGUUAUUGUUCUUUUGUUUUAAUACAUACAUCUUGAGUUUCUUCUGCAUCCUUGUUCUCCUUGACAUCAGCCACUCUGUCAAAUCCUCUGGAGCAAGGACUAACUCCUUACAUCUGUGUGUCCCUUUUUAUUUCAGAGGUGCAGCCUUUGACUGCUUGUGAGUAAGAAUCUGAGACUGUCUUUAUGUCUCUCACACAAGGCUUCCAGGAAGAAAUGCUUACUCUGUAUUCCUAAGUUUCUUUUCUAAGAGUUAUUUUCCUGCAGAAAUUCUCCUUUUAUCCAAAUCCUGGUCAAGCAGGUGUCAAAAGGUCUGAUGCUGUUAGUCAGGGACAUCAAUUCUCUCUUUUCACAUCUCAUUACAGAGGCCUUAAGCUCAGAUACCCACUGGUGAUAGACAGGGCAGGUCACACAUUGAGAGAAGAACUCCUUACAGUACUGAAAGGAAAGGAAGGUCCAUUAGCUCUGGGAUUAGUGCUUCAUUCUCCUAACAUGCUACUUCAUCAGAACUUACAAAGGUCCUCAUUCAGCAUAUUCACUCAUGGCUGGGGGAACAGGAAGGAGUUACUGAUGGCAAAAUAAGCCUGGAAAACAGAGGAAUUGGAAUGUGUUUUAGACUCAGAAGGGCUGGAGGGAGCUGUAUCAAAUUAUAGACUGAACCAUAGACUACAGGUCCAUUGAGCAAGGCUAAAUGUUAAUAUUUUAAUGAUACUGGGUAGCAGCUGGCAAAGGUGGAAAGUUAAGAAACCCAGUCCAGAACUAGAUGCAAUAAUAUCGGGAAGGAUACAUAAGGUAGGUAGAAACUUUCUAGGUGGAGAAACAAAGGAUUCAAAGAGUAAAGGGAAACAGAGCCAGUAAAAGGGAAAAAAGGAAGAGAUGCAGGUGGUAGAAAGAGCACCAUAGGGUAGAACUAAGUGAAUCAGGUGUUAGUCAAAGGACAGCUGAGAAACAGGUACCUCAAGGGUUUGGCUGUGAAGCUCUAGAGGAAUAUGCAUGAAGAUACCCUCUGGCAUUUUCUGUAACAUUAACACAUGGCAUUCUAGGAAUCGGACAAAGCCAUGUGCACCAAAUAGCGAGGCAUUGGUUCUUUUCACCAACUGCAAGCGUUGGAGAAAUAGUGCUUAAACAGGUCCCACUGUGAUUCCUGGGCAAACCUGGAGGAAAAGAGUAACAGCUUGCAGCAAUAUCCGCUGCUUACCCACCAUGACUUUUGCUUAAAAUCAUCACUUCUUUAAGGCUCUAAGACCUCAUGGACAAUCAGAAUUGUGAUGCUAGAAAGUGACCAAGGCUACUAACUCACAUACAAGGAAACUUAAAAGGAGACCAAUUAUAUUCAGCCUUGCUAUGGGUUACUCUAGCAGUUAAAUGUAACCCUAAACGUAACCCUUGACCUAUAGGCCAAAACCUGUUAAAGGACAAGAGCCCUUCUAAUAAGAUGGGAGGGUAUGGGAGGUGAAUGGUCUUUAAAAGUUGGUUAGAGAGGUUCAAAAGUCCUGUCUGGUGGGGAGAGACAGCUUAAAUGACAUAAAUGUCUAUCCUUUUCCACAGCCCUUGAGUAAGACAUUACCACAUGGCCAGGGAGGAGUGGACCCCCAGCAUGACAUUGCUCUGAGAGGUUAGAACACGGCUGUGCUCGUAGACUUGAACGAAACGCAGACACUCACUAAAGGGCCGACACAGCAAUCCUGUGGACAGAGAAGGUAACCACGCUAGUAUAUAAUAUCAGUGUAGGAACCAGGGUAUAGAAGGUAUGUGAUACAGGGAAGGAAAAAAGACCCCAAAGGCAGACACCCCUGAAUCACAACAUGGUUCCCAGACUUUAAGGAGCCAGAGGUCAGGGGCAGAGGCCAUGCCUGAGGGACAGGUUCAUGACUGCCUGUAUUCCAAACCUAGAGCCCCAUCUGAGGUCUGAAUCCCUCAGGAGUACAGCAGAGACCUGCGCAAGAUUUACCUUUUCCAUAGAGCAGCAGAUCUAAGCAAGCAGAGUAAAAGCAGGCCAGGCCAAGGACAUCAUAACUCUGAGAAAUGAGCGCCCACUGACUCUCCAGUACAUGGACACACAGACCAAAUCUGCCGAGAGAGAGAGCCACUGGGACCAGCUAGGGAGUGAGGAGGAUGGGUAGGAAAGGAAGGGGUCUUACACCUUCAAAGCAGCCUAACAUCCUUUAAAUCUCUUCAUAGCUCUAUUUAUAAAGAGAAUAUCUAAGCCUGGGAUCAGACCCAUCUCUAGGCAAAGGAGGUGGGAGAUUGCCUCUGAGGCAGUUUCCAGAGUCUUCAGCUGCUGCAAUUCUCUAUCUCCCUGCAGAUUUUUUUUUGAAGAAACUUUGUCCAUGAGACCCAAGUACUGAGGAAUAUAUAGUAGCUCUGACUCUGCAUUUCCACUCCUGACUCUUCCACACUUAAGAUAAUGUGUCUGGAGUGGCCAAGGGAAGGAUAUCCCAGGGUGUGGAAAUGGAACAGCAUCUCCCUCUCCACUCCAAACUUCUCUGGGAAAAUAUACACACCCCUCUUAGGAAACAAAUACAAAUGACAGAAAAUGAUCUUAAUACUUCUUCAGAAAUGCAGAUCUGAAGAGAACUGAGAGAAUCAGAUUCUCCAGAGCUGGUUUCUGGAGGUGUCUGCAUAUCUCACGAGCUUGAAAACCUGAGGAGGUUUAAGAGCACCAUGUGAGGUCUAGCUGUGAACAUGUACUCUCUAAAAGCCCUAGACCCACCAUCCCUAAGUCCCAUUACCCAGCUUGAUGGAGAAGUCAAGAUGACCAAGGCAGAGCUUGGUGUAGGCCAGGGCCUGCAUGAGCUGAGCUGUGGCCAACAACCCCUCCCUGGAGAACCAACAUAAACUGCUUUUCUGAAUGGCCAUCUGCUCACAGUGCAGCCACUUGUCCUUGAUGCCCACACUCUGGGAGAACUGAGAGAGCUCCACAUAGGUAGAGACAACUUCUCACUAGGGUCGUUUGGAGGUUGGCUCAGGGUACAGGAAUGCCAAUACUUUUCCAGGAAUGUCUGGAAAAGGACACCAAACCAGGUCCAAGGGAAAUUCCUUUUCAGCAGUCGAAGGGCUUUCCUAGCCAAUUUUUUGGCUAAAGUGAUACGUCCCAUGUUGAAACAGACCUGGAGAUGGGAAAAGAAGAAUUAAUGUAAAUAUAAGGUUUUGGAUAUAACACACUGGCUCUUUCAUUUUGAGAUGUGUAGUUGGGGUUACUGAGGUGCUAGAGUGAGCUGAGCUAGAGCAUAGCCUGGUUAGCAGUCACCCUAACAAGCACCAGUAUGGCCAUAAGUGAGUAAAGGGUUUAGAAAAUAGGAUUAUGGAGAAAGUAUCCUCCCUUCUCAUCUCCCACACAUUUGUCAGUGGGCAGUAGAGGAAGGCUGUGAUUUAAAAUGUGAUGCUGCUAGACUGAGAAGGGAUCGUCAUUUGAGUGGAGACUCAGAUGCUCUCACAUGACAUAGAAAGCAUCUAUAAUAUCACCAAAUCCUUUAUCUCUCUUCCUAAACAGGUUGAAUCAUAGUAGAUGUGGGGUGGGAGCUGGGGAACUACCUUGAAGUUAUCCUGUAUCUUCACAUUCUAAGGCUGAAUCCCUCAAGAAAGUGAUAAAGUCUACGUGAUUCUAGAACAAAGAACAAUCUUGGGAGGACUGUACAAUAACUUUCUCUUAUAAAGGGAAAGAAUAAUUAUUUAAC
rnacentral:lncRNA from 1 species